GACGAACGCUGGCGGCGUGCCUAAUACAUGCAAGUCGAGCGAACAGACGAGGAGUUUGCGCCUCUGACGUUAGCGGCGGAGGGGUGAGUAACAUGGGGAUAACCUACCUAUAAGACUGGGAUAAUUAUGGGAAACCGUAGCUAAUACCGGAUAAUAUAUUGAACCGCAUGGUUCAAUAGUGAAAGUCGGUUUUGCUGUCACUAAUAGAUGGAUCCGCGCCGCAUUAGUUAGUUGGUAAGGUAACGGAUUACCAAGGCGACGACGCGUAGCCGACCUGAGAGGGUGGUCGGCCACCCUGGAACUGAGACGCGGACCACACUCCUGCGGUAAGCCGCAGCCGGGACUCUUCCGCAAUGGAGGAGAGCCUGACAGAGCAACGCGGCGGGAGUGGUGAAGCACCUCGGCUCGUAAAGCUCUGUUAUUAGUAGAGAACAAAUGUGUAAUUAACUGUGCACGUAUUGACGGUACCGGGUCAAAAAGCCACGGCUAACUACGUG
rnacentral:rRNA from 1 species